rnacentral:rRNA from 1 species
CCCGGGUCUUGUACACACCGCCCGUCACACCAUGGGAGCGGGAUGUACCAGAAGUAGGUAGGCUAACCGCAAGGGGGCCGCUUACCACGGUGCGUUUCGUGACUGGGUG